rnacentral:rRNA from 1 species
AGUGAACGCUGGCGGUAGGCCUAACACAUGCAAGUCGAACGGCAGCACAGUAAGAGCUUGCUCUUACGGGUGGCGAGUGGCGGACGGGUGAGGAAUACAUCGGAAUCUACUUUUUCGUGGGGGAUAACGUAGGGAAACUUACGCUAAUACCGCAUACGACCUACGGGUGAAAGCAGGGGAUCUUCGGACCUUGCGCGUUUGAAUGAGCCGAUGUCGGAUUAGCUAGUUGGCGGGGUACAGGCCCACCAAGGCGACGAUCCGUAGCUGGUCUGAGAGGAUGAGCAGACACACGGGAACUGAGACACGGACAAGAAGCCUACGGGAGGCAGCAGUGGGGAAUAUUGGACAAUGGGGGAAAGCCUGAUACAGACAGACCGCGUGGGAGAAGAAGGCGUUCGGGUUGUAAAGCCCUUUUGUUGGGAAAGAAAAGCAGCAGGUUAAUACCACGCUGGUGUGACGGUACCCAAAGAAUAAGCACCGGCUAACUUCGUG